rfam:Myotis davidii contig163484, whole genome shotgun sequence.
GAGACACCCCUAUGGGGCAGGACUUGAGUCAGUGGAGCUUUGGCGCUCACUGAAUCUGCCCCUUGAGUGUGUCACA